AGCGAACGCUGGCGGCAGGCCUAAUACAUGCAAGUCGAACGGCUCUUCGGAGCAGUGGCGGACGGGUGAAUAACGCGUGGGAACGUGCCCUUUGGUUCGGAACAACACAGGGAAACUUGUGCUAAUACCGAAUGUGCCCUUCGGGGGAAAGAUUUAUCGCCAUUGGAGCGGCCCGCGUUGGAUUAGGUAGUUGGUGGGGUAAAGGCCUACCAAGCCUACGAUCCAUAGCUGGUCUGAGAGGAUGAUCAGCCACACUGGGACUGAGACACGGCCCAGACUCCUACGGGAGGCAGCAGUAGGGAAUCUUGCGCAAUGGGCGAAAGCCUGACGCAGCCAUGCCGCGUGAAUGAUGAAGGUCUUAGGAUUGUAAAAUUCUUUCACCGGGGAAGAUAAUGACGGUACCCGGAGAAGAAGCCCCGGCUAACUUCGUGCCAGCCGCCGCCGUAAAAC
rnacentral:rRNA from 1 species